UUACUUGCCAGGACAAAUCAAAGACCAUCCCCUUCGGGAGAGUGAAUGGUGACUAUUGUGACUGCAGUGACGGGUCAGAUGAACCAGACUGCUGUGAUGCUACAGAUAAGUACACCAGUGGUACUGUUUGUGCAAAUACAUGCAAGGAGCUGGGGGAAAAGGAGCAAUAGACUUUGAAGCAGCUAGCUAAGAUGGUGAAGGCUGGGCUCCUGGUGAAAAAGCAGCUGAUCGAGGAGGCAAGGAAGACCAGAGAGGAGA